ACUCUGUACCGCGUCGCCUCGUGCUGUCUGAUCAGUUAUUUGACUGAAUAGAUAGACGCCCCAAUUAGGACACCGCGAGGAAUGAAUGGCGCACUUAUGCCACUGUGGCUUCUGAUUUUGAUUCAUUACAAAUCUAUUUGGAUUAAUUUGGCUUGCUGGUAUUUGUCUCAGGUGGGGAGAGUACCUGGAUUGUACCCAGACAGUGGAUUUAAUAUUGUUGAUUUUAGACAGGUUGUCACAGGAAGGAUAAGAUCAUCAAGGAUGUCAGCCACCUGAGCCACGGCCUGUUCACCCACCUAGAAGGUGGAGACAGUACAGGUGCAUCAAAGAUGGGACCAUAAGACUGAGAAACAACUUCUAUCUCCAGCCCAUCAGACUGUUAAACAAUCAUCAGUACCCUUCCCUGGUCAAUUUAAUAAUGUUUACAUACUGUUUCACCCACUUUAUAUGUAUAUACUGUAUU